AACGAACGCUGGCGGCAGGCUUAACACAUGCAAGUCGAACGCAUCCUUCGGGGUGAGUGGCAGACGGGUGAGUAACGCGUGGGAACGUGCCCUUCAGUUCGGGAUAACCCAGGGAAACUUGGGCUAAUACCGGAUACGUGCGAGAGCAGAAAGAUUUAUCGCUGAAGGAUCGGCCCGCGUCGGAUUAGCCAGUUGGUGGGGUAAUGGCCCACCAAGGCGACGAUCAGUAGCUGGUCUGAGAGGAGGAUCAGCCACAUUGGGACUGAGACACGGCCAAAACGCCUACGGGAGGCAGCAGUGGGGAAUAUUGAACAAUGGGCGCAAGCCUGAUCCAGCCAUGCCGCGUGAGUGAUGAAGGCCUUAGGGUUGUAAAGCUCUUUCGUCCGGGACGAUAAUGACGGUACCGGAAGAAGAAGCCCCAGCUAACUUCGUGCCAGCCGCCGCCGUAA
rnacentral:rRNA from 1 species